AUGCAUCUCACUCACACACUUAUAUGGGAAGCGAUGAAAACACAUACUACACUUGGUCACCACAUUUCGGCACAUUUCCCAGACACGACAAGUCACCACAUUGUAGUCUUCCCCACGUUCUUGUGGUUUCUCUUCUUUCUGACGUUACUUUGCAGUUUGCACACCACUCAUUUUUCACAUCUCUCUAAUGCUACCCUGAGGGCCCCAACACAUCCAUCCACAAAAUAUUCAGUGUGCAUUCACUUGUUUUUGCUCUUUUUACAGUUUCUCGAUGUAGUUUCACUCAUUCAAGAGUUAAGACAUGAGCAUCAAGGCAUUGGAUGCUUUUUUGAAAUAGUGGCACCUGUAAACAUGUCAAGUGCAUGGCAAUUAUAG
rnacentral:rRNA from 1 species